rnacentral:rRNA from 1 species
AUUGAACGCUGGCGGCAUGCUUUACACAUGCAAGUCGAACGGCAGCGCGGGCUUCGGCCUGGCGGCGAGUGGCGAACGGGUGAGUAAUGCAUCGGAACGUGCCCAGUAGUGGGGGAUAGCCCGGCGAAAGCCGGAUUAAUACCGCAUACGACCUGAGGGUGAAAGCGGGGGACCGAAAGGCCUCGCGCUAUUGGAGCGGCCGAUGUCGGAUUAGCCAGUUGGUGGGGUAAAGGCUUACCAAGGCGACGAUCCGUAGCUGGUCUGAGAGGACGACCAGCCACACUGGGACUGAGACACGGCCCAGACUCCUACGGGAGGCAGCAGUGGGGAAUUUUGGACAAAGGGGGCAACCCUGAUCCAGCCAUGCCGCGUGCGGGAAGAAGGCCUUCGGGUUGUAAACCGCUUUUGUUCGGGAAGAAAUCCUCUGGGCUAAUACCCCGGGGGGAUGACGGUACCGGAAGAAUAAGCACCGGCUAACUACGUG